GUUUUAGGGAGGGAGAGCGGCCUGGGUCCUGGGUGUUGUGUGCGGAGCUGUGGCGUCGCGUGUGAGGCGCGUGCAGGGUGAGUGUGAGUGGACGCGUGAGUGUGUGAGUGUGCGCGCUUGGAGCGUGUUAGGCGAGUGCGUGCGCCCACCCCUGCGCCCCUCCUCCCGCUUACACUUUGAUCUUAUUUGAUCGGAUCGUGACCCCAGCCCCGCCGGGCCGACCCGAAAUGAAAAGCUCUCCUCCUGCGAAGCCCCCUCGGGGCGCUGUGCAGCGAGGCCCCUUAGGCGGCGGCCACGCUGUGGUCCCCGAGGUCCCGGAGCUGGCCCUGCGGGGCCCGGCGCUCAGAAGUGAUGAAUUGAUCAGAUAGACGAGGCCGGGCUUGUCCCCGGCCACUGAUUAUCGAGGCGAUUCUGAUCUGGGCACGGC
ensembl:lncRNA small Cajal body-specific RNA 2